UACCAGACUCCUACGGGAGGCAGCAGUGGGGAAUAUUGCACAAUGGGGGAAACCCUGAUGCAGCGACGCCGCGUGAGCGAUGAAGUAUUUCGGUAUGUAAAGCUCUCUCAGCAGGGAAGAAGAUGACGGUACCUGACUAAGAAGCCCCGGCUAACUACGUGCCAGCAGCCGCGGUAAUACGUAGGGGGCAAGCGUUAUCCGGAUUUACUGGGUGUAAAGGGAGCGUAGACGGCCAUGCAAGCCUGGAGUGAAAGCCCGGGGCCCAACCCCGGGACUGCUCUGGGAACUGUGCGGCUGGAGUGCGGGAGGGGCGGGCGGAAUUCCUGGUGUAGCGGUGAAAUGCGUAGAUAUCAGGAGGAACACCGGCGGCGAAGGCGGCCUGCUGGACCGCGACUGACGUUGAGGCUCGAAAGCGUGGGGAGCAAACAGGAUUAGAUACCCGGGUA
rnacentral:rRNA from 1 species